rnacentral:rRNA from 1 species
UGGGGAAUAUUGGGCAAUGGGGCGAAAGCCUGACCCAGCAACGCCGCGUGAGGGAAGAAGGUUUUCGGAUUGUAAACCUCUGUCCUUGGUGACGAAGGAAGUGACGGUAGCCAAGGAGGAAGCCCCGGCUAACUACGUGCCAGCAGCCGCGGUAAUACGUAGGGGGCGAGCGUUGUCCGGAAUGACUGGGCGUAAAGGGCGCGUAGGCGGCUUGGUAAGUUAGAGGUGAAAGUCCAGCUUUCAAGGUUGGAACUGCCUUUAAUACUGCUGAGCUUGAGUGCGGAAGAGGUAAGUGGAAUUCCCAGUGUAGCGGUGAAAUGCGUAGAGAUUGGGAGGAACACCAGUGGCGAAGGCGACUUACUGGGCCGUAACUGACGCUGAGGCGCGAAAGCGUGGGG